GAUGAACGCUGGCGGCGUGCCUAAUACAUGCAAGUCGAGCGAACAGAUGAGGAGCUUGCUCCUCUGACGUUAGCGGCGGACGGGUGAGUAACACGUGGAUAACCUACCUAUAAGACUGGGAUACUUCGGGAAACCGGAGCUAAUACCGGAUAAUAUAUUGAACCGCAUGGUUCAAUAGUGAAAGACGGUUUUGCUGUCACUUAUAGAUGGAUCCGCGCCGCAUUAGCUAGUUGGUAAGGUAACGGCUUACCAAGGCAACGAUGCGUAGCCGACCUGAGAGGGUGAUCGGCCACACUGGAACUGAGACACGGUCCAGACUCCUACGGGAGGCAGCAGUAGGGAAUCUUCCGCAAUGGGCGAAAGCCUGACGGAGCGACGCCGCGUGAGUGAUGAAGGUCUUCGGAUCGUAAAACUCUGUUAUUAGGGAAGAACAAAUGUGUAAGUAACUAUGCACGUCUUGACGGUACCUAAUCAGAAAGCCACGGCUAACUACGUG
rnacentral:rRNA from 1 species